GAAAAAUGUAAAUUAAAUUAUAAUAAUCAAUGAUAUAUUAAUACAUAGAAAUAUCAUUCGAAUGACAUCCGUUGAUUAUUUAAAAACAGUUUUUUUCCUAAAAUAUUCAGUAUUUAUAAUUAAGAUAUGAAAAUGCACCUUAAGAUUCACUAUACAGUGCUACAUAUCAAGGUAUAAAAAUAUUAGAAAUAAGUUAAAACGAUUUUGUAUUAAAAUAAAUUCAAUAUUCUGAUUUUGACAAUCCACCAGAUAUAAAAUUUGGAAAAAAAACACUUUACAUUUUAUAAUAUUUGAUAUUUAUAAUGACGGAAUGAAAAUUGAAUAAGAUGUCUACUGUAUAUACAUCAUUAAGUUUCUAAAUUAACAAUGGUACUGACAAUACAUUUUUUUACAUUUUCAGUUAAAAAUAUCUAUAAUGAAUUCAUCGUUGGACUGACAGAUGGUGUGAAUGUUUGCUUGGAAUCAUUUAAAGGCUUAAUUAACUACAUGGCUACCUUGAUUUAGUAAAUGUCUAUAAGACACCACCUCUCAAGAAAUCUGUCCAAGAGCUUCAAUACUUGGUUCUUCAGAAUCACCUGGGCUGAGUGACUAUUGUCUACAUGGUUGAACGAUGGAAAAAUUUAAAAAUAUCUGUAAGGAAUUCAUCGUUGGACCGACAGAUGGUGUGAAUGUUUGCUUGGAAUCAUUUAAAGGCAUAAUUAACUACAUGGCUACCUUGAUUUAGUAAAUGUCUAUAAGAUACCACCUCUCAAGAAAUCUGUCUAAGAGCUUCAAUACUUGGUUUUUCAGAAUCACCUGGGCUGAGUGACUAUUGUCUACAUGGUUGAACGAUGGAAAAAUUUAAAAAUAUCUAUAAUGAAUUCAUCGUUGGACCGACAGAUGGUGUGAAUGUUUGCUUGGAAUCAUUUAAAGGCUUAAUUAACUACAUGGCUACCUUGAUUUAGUAAAUGUCUAUAAGACACCACCUCUCAAGAAAUCUGUCCAAGAGCUUCAAUACAUUGUUUUUCAGAAUCACCUGGGCUGAGUGACUAUUGUCUACAUGGUUGAACGAUGGAAAAAUUUAAAAAUAUCUAUAAUGAAUUCAUCGUUGGACCGACAGAUGGUGUGAAUGUUUGCUUGGAAUCAUUUAAAGGCUUAAUUAACUACAUGGCUACCUUGAGCUAGUAAAUGUCUAUAAGACACCACCUCUCAAGAAAUCUGUCCAAGAGCUUCAAUACUUGGUUCUUCAGAAUCACCUGGGCUGAGUGACUAUUGUCUACAUGGUUGAACAAUGGAAAAAUGUAAAUUAAAUUAUAAUAUUCGAUGAUAUAUUAAUACAUAGAAAUAUCAUUCGUAUGACAUCCGUUUAUCAUUUAAAAACAGUUUUUUUCCUAAAAUAUUCAGUAUUUAUAAUGAAGAUAUGAAAAUCCACCUUAAGAUUCACUAUACAGUGCUACAUAUCAAGGUAUAAAAAUAUUAGAAAUAAGUUAAAACGAUUUUGUAUUAAAAUAAAUUCAAUAUUCUGAUUUUGACAAUCCACCAGAUAUAAAAUUUGGAAAAAAAACACUUUACAUUUUAUAAUAUUUGAUAUUUAUAAUGACGGAAUGAAAAUUGAAUAAGAUGUCUACUGUAUAUACAUCAUUAAGUUUCUAUAUUAACAAUGGUACUGACAAUACAUUUUUUUACAUUUUCAGUUAAAAAUAUCUAUAAUGAAUUCAUCGUUGGACCGACAGAUGGUGUGAAUGUUUGCUUGGAAUCAUUUAAAGGCUUAAUUAACUACAUGGCUACCUUGAGCUAGUAAAUGUCUAUAAGACACCACCUCUCAAGAAAUCUGUCCAAGAGCUUCAAUACUUGGUUCUUCAGAAUCACCUGGGCUGAGUGACUAUUGUCUACAUGGUUGAACAAUGGAAAAAUGUAAAUUAAAUUAUAAUAUUCGAUGAUAUAUUAAUACAUAGAAAUAUCAUUCGUAUGACAUCCGUUUAUCAUUUAAAAACAGUUUUUUUCCUAAAAUAUUCAGUAUUUAUAAUGAAGAUAUGAAAAUCCACCUUAAGAUUCACUAUACAGUGCUACAUAUCAAGUUAAAAAUAUCUGUAAGGAAUUCAUCGUUGGACCGACAGAUGGUGUGAAUGUUUGCUUGGAAUCAUUUAAAGGCUUAAUUAACUACAUGGCUACCUUGAUUUAGUAAAUGUCUAUAAGACACCACCUCUCAAGAAAUCUGUCCAAGAGCUUCAAUACUGGGUUCUUCAGAAUCACCUGGGCUGAGUGACUAUUGUCUACAUGGUUGAACAAUGGAAAAAUUUAAAAAUAUCUGUAAGGAAUUCAUCGUUGGACCGACAGAUGGUGUGAAUGUUUGCUUGGAAUCAUUUAAAGGCUUAAUUAACUACAUGGCUACCUUGAUUUAGUAAAUGUCUAUAAGACACCACCUCUCAAGAAAUCUGUCCAAGAGCUUCAAUACUUGGUUUUUCAGAAUCACCUAGGCUGAGUGACUAUUGUCUACAUGGUUGAACGAUGGAAAAAUUUAAAAAUAUCUAUAAUGAAUUCAUCGUUGGACCGACAGAUGGUGUGAAUGUUUGCUUGGAAUCAUUUAAAGGCUUAAUUAACUACAUGGCUACCUUGAUUUAGUAAAUGUCUAUAAGACACCACCUCUCAAGAAAUCUGUCCAAGAGCUUCAAUACAUUGUUUUUCAGAAUCACCUGGGCUGAGUGACUAUUGUCUACAUGGUUGAACGAUGGAAAAAUUUAAAAAUAUCUGUAAGGAAUUCAUCGUUGGACCGACAGAUGGUGUGAAUGUUUGCUUGGAAUCAUUUAAAGGCUUAAUUAACUACAUGGCUACCUUGAUUUAGUAAAUGUCUAUCAGGUGAGAUGAAUCAAUUGUCUGAGGAACUAUUUUUUAAAUUAAUAUCCAUAAAUUGAUUUUUUUAGUUUAAUAAUUUCAUUUUUUCCCUAAAAUUAUAUUUUUCAGACACCACCUCUCAAGAAAUCUGUCCAAGAGCUUCAAUACUUGGUUUUUCAGAAUCACCUGGGCUGAGUGACUAUUGUCUACAUGGUUGAACGAUGGAAAAAUUUAAAAAUAUCUAUAAUGAAUUCAUCAUUGGACCGACAGAAUGAACGUGUGAAUGUUUGCUUGGAAUCAUUUAAAGGCUUAAUUAACUACAUGGCUACCUUGAUUUAGUAAAUGUCUAUAAGAUACCACCUCUCAAGAAAUCUGUCUAAGAGCUUCAAUACUUGGUUUUUCAGAAUCACCUGGGCUGAGUGACUAUUGUCUACAUGGUUGAACGAUGGAAAAAUGUAAAUUAAAUUAUAAUAAUCAAUGAUAUAUUAAUACAUAGAAAUAUCAUUCAUAUGACAUCCGUUGAUCAUUUAAAAACAGUUUUUUUCCUAAAAUAUUCAGUAUUUAUAAUUAAGAUAUGAAAAUCCACCUUAAGAUUCACUAUACAGUGCUACAUAUCAAGGUAUAAAAUUAUUAGAAAUAAGUUAAAACGAUUUUGUAUUAAAAUAAAUUCAAUAUUCUGAUUUUGACAAUCCACCAGAUAUAAAAUUUGGAAAAAAAACACUUUACAUUUUAUAAUAUUUGAUAUUUAUAAUGACGGAAUGAAAAUUGAAUAAGAUGUCUACUGUAUAUACAUCAUUAAGUUUCUAAAUUAACAAUGGUACUGACAAUACAUUUUUUUUUAUUUUCAGUUAAAAAUAUCUAUAAUGAAUUCAUCAUUGGACCGACAGAUGGUGUGAAUGUUUGCUUGGAAUCAUUUAAAGGCUUAAUUAACUACAUGGCUACCUUGAGCUAGUAAAUGUCUAUAAGACACCACCUCUCAAGAAAUCUGUCCAAGAGCUUCAAUACUUGGUUUUUCAGAAUCACCUGGGCUGAGUGACUAUUGUCUACAUGGUUGAACGAUGGAAAAAUGUAAAUUAAAUUAUAAUAAUCAAUGAUAUAUUAAUACAUAGAUAUAUCAGUUGAAUGACAUCCGUUGAUCAUUUAAAACAGUUUUUUUCCUAAAAUAUUCAGUAUUUAUAAUUAAGAUACGAAAAUCCACCUUAAGAUGCACUAUACAGUGCUACAUAUCAAGGUAUAAAAAUAUUAGAAAUAAGUUAAAACGAUUUUGUAUUAAAAUAAAUUCAAUAUUCUGAUUUUGACAAUCCACCAGAUAUAAAAUUUGGAAAAAAAACACUUUACAUUUUAUAAUAUUUGAUGUGUAUAAUGACGGAAUGAAAAUUGAAUAAGAUGUCUACUGUAUAUACAUCAUUAAGUUUCUAUAUUAACAAUGGUACUGACAAUACAUUUUUUUACAUUUUCAGGUAAAAAUAUCUAUAAUGAAUUCAUCGUUGGACCGACAGAUGGUGUGAAUGUUUGCUUGGAAUCAUUUAAAGGCUUAAUUAACUACAUGGCUACCUUGAGCUAGUAAAUGUCUAUAAGACACCACCUCUCAAGAAAUCUGUCUAAGAGCUUCAAUACUUGGUUUUUCAGAAUCACCUGGGCUGAGUGACUGUUGUCUACAUGGUUGAACGAUGGAAAAAUUUAAAAAUAUCUAUAAUGAAUUCAUCGUUGGACCGACAGAUGGUGUGAAUGUUUGCUUAGAAUCAUUUAAAGGCUUAAUUAACUACAUGGCUACCU